GCCCAGGUGGUGAAAUUGGUAGACACGCUACUUUGAGGGGGUAGUGCCCGCUUUUGGGCGUGCAAGUUCAAAUCUUGUCCUGGGCA
rnacentral:tRNA from 1 species